AUCAAACUCAGGACAUUGCACUUGCAAGGCAGGCAAGGCGCCACUGAGCUAAAUCCCCAGCCCCUCAACAUUUCUCAUUGUAAAUGUGCCAUUUCUGCCAACUCUCCUUGUAUAUGGUCCUGGAAUUCUAGCUCUGGUCAUUCAAUUGUAUACUCAGAAACCCUGCGGUGAGUCCUGGUCUCCUGUGAGUCAUGACAGCACAAUGCAAAUUGAAUAAUAAAGACAGGAAAUCAGACUUAAGAGAAGAACCUGAGUUCUGGGUCUGAUCAGUGCUGCCCUGGGAAGCAUAGACUAUUAUUGAUAAGAAGAGCACAGUUUCUUGCUGGGAGUGGUGAAAGACUCUGGAGCUGAUUUUGAUUAUACAGACUUCUUAGAAGAACCAGAGUAUGAAAAGGAAACUUUUAUGUUGUACUUUCCUGUAUCCUGCUGAUGCCUACUACUAACACAAGUUAUCUAAUCUGGAAGGCAACAAGGCUCAGAAAACAUAGGUAAAAGAAACCUGUUUCCAGAAUGAAAGAAAAGAAUAUAAAAAUGUUUGGUCAUAAGUAGAACUAUAGUAAUGAUAUUGUUUCAUAUUAUAAAAAUCAAAAUAUACUUGCACAUAGAAUACACAUUAAAGUAAGUAAACAAACUAUAUAUGAAAAUAGUACCACCA